rnacentral:rRNA from 1 species
UACAGAGGUCCCAAGCGUUGUUCGGAUUCAUUGGGCGUAAAGGGUGCGUAGGUGGCGCCGUAAGUGGGGAUGUGGAAAUUUCGGAGCUUAACUCCGAAACUGCAUUCCAUACUGCGGUGCUUGAGGACUGGAGAGGAGACUGGAAUUUACGGUGUAGCGGUGAAAUGCGUAGAUAUCGUAAGGAAGACCAGUGGCGAAGGCGGGUCUCUGGACAGUUCCUGACGCUGAGGCACGAAGGCCAGGGGAGCAAACGGG